AGCUGUACGUAAAGGGCGUGAUUACGCCUGUUGGCAAGCAUUCUGCGGUCCACCGCCAAAUUCAAACAGAAAGAAACGCGAACAACUGCAGCCACUGCAAAGAGGACGGAGUUUCUCACAACUGAUAAUUUUAGCUCAGUCAGCAUGGCGUCUUCAGUGAUGGAUGGGGUGGGUAAAGCUGUGGUUGGAGUCUGGCGAGCACACACAGUCCUGGAUGAGUCUGACGGAGCAGAGAGCUCCCCAGAAGCCCCUGACCGUUUCCGCAAGCUUCGCUCCUCAUCUUCACUGAACUCUCUGCGAAUGUCUUUGCGCAAGAGGCUCCCACUGCGCUCGGUCCAGGCCAACUCCCUCCCAGAGAACCCAACUUGGGAGACCCUGAAGGAAGAACCAAAACCAAGCACCAUCAGCAAACUCAGUCGUAGUGCUCGGAAUUCCAUCAACGGAGUAUAUCAGAGGUUCCAGAGGACCAGAGAGUUUUCACGUGAGGAGUGUUUGGUAGCAACACCAGGUCGUGAUGGAGAAAAUGCUGGUACUUCUACUUCUUGCACACCGAGGCGCACACCGAGACGAGCUGCAACACCCAGACGCACCCCCAGAGCAGCAGCAACACCAGGGCGUACUCCAGGCUCUAGAGGACGAAAGACUCCUGAGGCGUCCGUACGAGGGGUGAAAACAGGACGAGGAAGGAGACAACUGGUCCGCAUGGCUGCAUUACGGAGUCCUUUUGCGUCCCCCAACACACAGAACCAGAGGCUAAAAUUUGAUCAAGAUCUAGAAUCAGUUUCCAGUGGACUCAGGAGGCUCAAACAUCUGUCAAAGGCCUUUGAUGACAUCAUCCGCAGAGAUGACAGGCAGUUCAACUAUUCCCUAAUUACGGAGUAGUCCAGAAGACCCAGUACAAGGGAACGUUCUGGAGGAGCGAUGAUGAGAAAGUUGGACCCCAGCGGUAAACUCAGUCGCUCAAACCUCACACGUCGAGCCACAAACUUCUCAAACACGCUGGGAGGUUGGGCCCACACAGCUGUGAACACUAUUCGCAAACCCAACUGAACUGCAUGCAUGUGUGUACGUAAAAUACAGGACCUUUUGUAGCCAUGUGUCACAUUUAUUAUUAUAGUGGUGUCACUGUUACAUAUACAUGUAGUGUUGUCAUGGGAGACUGUUAUGUGGCAGCUUGUCUUCUGUUUUUUAUCUGUGUGGUGCCCAAUUAGCUGCACCUGUGUGAAUCUUGUGUGUUUACUCAUCUCAGGUUAGCUAGUUGUGGGUAAAAUGUCCUCAUUGUAGCUACCAAAGGGAUUUUUAUACUGUGGUGUACGUGUCUGUCAUAGCUGCCACAACCAAAUGUCUUAGUUACAUUUUUAAAAUACUAAUAUUUUAGUUUGUGCUGUCACUCUCUGCCUACAUUCUGAAAAAUACUUUAGAGAUGCUGCACAAGACCAAAAUCUGCAGGACUAACACUACAUUUACUGACUGAAGGGAGAGGCAUUUUCCUCUACUUUAAAUGUAUGCAAUGAUGUUACUAACAUUUAUUGUACGUUUUUAAAUGGCAUUUGAUUAUACCAAAUUUUACGUGUAUUUUCUAUGAAAGGGGAAUUUUUUAUAUACGAUAAUUUAGGCAGUAUUUGAAUGGGAACUUUCCUUGAGGCAGAGGUUGGCACGUAUAACAGCCUGUGGAUGAUUCAUAUACCAAUAUUGUACACAUAAAUCAUCUGAUAAUGUGAUAAGGGGCAGAUUUAAUGGCUCAUUACCAGAUGACAUCGAUGAUGAUGAUGUUAUUAAGUAAUAUCCAGUAAGUUAUUAGUGUAGUGAUUGUCAAGCUAAACAGCCUCAAAUGAAGCGAAACACUUCUCUUUGCUGCAUUUUCAGUGUAUUGGUACCUUCUUUUUCUACAUUAAUGGGGAAAAAAGGGGAGAAACUGUUGAAAUGUAAAAUAAAAUAUCUACACAAUAAAACAUGUAAGCUUCAACAA